rnacentral:lncRNA from 10 species
CUUUUAUAUUUUCAUGUCCAAGGGAAGAGGAAAACAUGAAGAAAACAGAUUUAUAAAAUUUACUCACAAGGCUGGGCACGGUGGCUCACACCUGUAAUCCCAGUAGUUUGAGAGGCCGAGGCAGGUGGAUCACGAAGUCAGGAGUUCAAGACCAGCCUGGCCAAGAAGACGUAAGAAUGUGAUGGAGCUGAGAAGGGAGAAUAAACUGCAGGCCGAG